AUUGAACGCUGGCGGCAGGCCUAACACAUGCAAGUCGAGCGAGCGGCGGACGGGCGGGCAAUGUAUGGGAACGUGCCUGACCGAGGGAGAUAACUGCUGGAACAGGUGGAUAAUACCGCAAACCAUCAGAUGGGCCCAUAUGGGAUUAGCUAGUAGGUGGGGUAAAGGCACACCUAGGCGACGAUCCCUAGCUGGUCUGAGAGGCAGACCGGCCACACUGGGACUGAGACACGGCCCAGACUCCUACGGGAGGCAGCAGUGGGGAAUAUUGCGCAAUGGGGGCAAGCCUGACGGAGCAAUGCCGCGUGAAUGAAGAAGGUCUUCGGGUUGUAAAGUUCUUUCGGUAGCGAGGCGUUAACUACAGAAAAAGCACCGGCUAACUCCGUGCCAGCAGCCGCGGUAAUUC
rnacentral:rRNA from 1 species